UACAGAGGUUGCAAGCGUUGUCCGGAUUCAUUGGGCGUAAAGGGUGCGUAGGCGGCGCGGUAAGUCGGGUGUGAAAUCUCGGAGCUUAACUCCGAAACUGCAUUCGAUACUGCCGUGCUUGAGGACUGGAGAGGAGACUGGAAUUUACGGUGUAGCGGUGAAAUGCGUAGAUAUCGUAAGGAAGACCAGUGGCGAAGGCGGGUCUCUGGACAGUUCCUGACGCUGAGGCACGAAGGUCAGGGGAGCGAACGGG
rnacentral:rRNA from 1 species